rnacentral:rRNA from 1 species
UGAGGAAUUUUGCGCAAUGGGGGAAACCCUGACGCAGCAAUGCCGCGUGAGUGAAGAAGGCCUUCGGGUCGUAAAGCUCUGUCAGAUGGGAAGAAAUUAUUAAUUAUUAAUAGUGGUUAGUAUUGACGGUACCAUCAAAGGAAGCACCGGCUAACUCCGUGCCAGCAGCCGCGGUAAUACGGAGGGUGCAAGCGUUAUUCGGAAUCAUUGGGCGUAAAGGGCGCGUAGGCGGUAUGUCAAGUCAGAUGUGAAAUCCCGGGGCUUAACUUCGGAGGGUCAUUUGAAACUGACAUACUUGAGUUCGGUAGAGGAAAGCGGAAUUCCUGGUGUAGCGGUGAAAUGCGUAGAUAUCAGGAGGAACAUCAGUGGCGAAGGCGGCUUUCUGGCCCGAUACUGACGCUGAUGCGCGAAGGCAUGGGUAGCAAACG